rnacentral:rRNA from 1 species
CCCUUAGACGUUCUGGGCCGCACGCGCGCUACACUGACCAGUGCAACAAGCAUCCGUCCUUGGCCGACAGGCCCGGGCAAUCUUUGAACGCUGGUCGUGAUGGGGAUAGACUUUUGCAAUUUUUGGUCUUCAACGAGGAAUUCCUAGUAAACGCAAGUCAUCAACUUGCAUUGAUUACGUCCCUGCCCUUUGUACACACCGCCCGUCGCACCUACCGAUUGAAUGGUCCGGUGAAGCCUCCGGAUUGGCGCGCACCUCGGUGCCGCCGAGAAGUUGGCUAAACCUUACCAUUUAGGGGAAGGUGAANUCGUANCA